rnacentral:sRNA from 1 species
UUGUUUUGCACGAAAACAGCUGUUCAGA